rnacentral:lncRNA from 1 species
UUUUUUUUUUUUCCCCCAUCUAUUUUUUGUGUUUCCUGCUAAAUUUCCAUCCUGAUUUUCCUGCUGGUUGCCCUUUUCCUUGGGAUUCCUCUCCUCAUCCCCAAAAACCUCAGUUUGGGAAACUGUCGAAACCCAGUGUAAAAUUCCCCAUUCUGAGGUUUUGCCUGGAUCCUUCCCUUCUCCAGGCUGGACAUUCCCAGCCUGGCUCCAGAGCAGAGGAGCUCCAACCCUUGGAGCAUCUCCACAUUCUCCCCUGGAAUUGCUCCAGCAGCUCCACAUCCCUCCAAUCCUGGACACCGAGAUUUGCCUGGAUCCUUCCCUUCUCCAGGCUGGACAUUCCCAGCUCCUCCCAGCCUGGCUCCAGAGCAGAGGAGCUCCAACCCUUGGAAGCAUCUCCACAUUCUCCUCUGGAAUUGCUCCACAUCCCUUCAAUCCUGGACAUCGAGAUUUGCGUGGAUCCUUCCCUUCUCCAGGUUGGACAUUCCCAACUCUUCCCAGCCUGGCUCCAGAGCAGAGGAGCUCCAAACUUUGGAGCAUCUCCAUGGCCUCCUCUGGAAUUGCUCCAGCAGCUCCACAUCCCUCCAAUCCUGGACACUGAGGUUUGCCUGGAUCCUUCCCUUCUCCAGGUUGGACAUUCCCAACUCUUCCCAGCCUGGCUCCAGAGCAGAGGAGCUCCAACCCUUGGAGCAUCUCCAUGUCUCCAUGGCCUCCUCUGGAAUUGCUCCAGCAGCUCCACAUCCCUCCAAUCCUGGACACUGAGAUUUGCCUGGAUCCUUCCCUUCUCCAGGUUGGACAUUCCCAGCCUGGCUCCAGAGCAGAAGAGCUCCAACCCUUGGAGCAUCUCCAUGGCCUCCUCUGGAUGUGCUCCACAUCCCUCCAAUCCUGGACACCGAGAUUUGCCUGGAUCCUUCCCUUCUCCAGGUUGGACACUCCCAACUCUUCCUAGCCUGGCUCCAGAGCAGAGGAGCUCCAACCCUUGGAGCAUCUCCAUGUUCUCCUCUGGAAUUGCUCCACAUCCCUCCAAUCCUGAACACCGAGAUUUGCCUGGAUCCUUCCCUUCUCCAGGUUGGACAUUCCCAGCCUGGCUCCAGAGCAGAGGAGCUCCAACCCUUGGAAGCAUCUCCAUGGCCUCCUCUGGAAUUGCUCCACAUCCCUCCAAUCCUGGACACCAAGAUUUGCCUGGAUCCUUCCCUUCUCCAGGUUGGACAUUCCCAGCUCUUCCCAGCCUGGCUCCAGAGCAGAGGAGCUCCAACCCCUGGGAGCAUUUCCACAUUCUCCUCUGGAAUUGCUCCAGCAGCUCCACAUCCCUCCAAUCCU